UUACAUAUCUAUGAGGUAGGCUGAAGAUGCCAUGAAUUUGUGGUCCAUGGAAAGGAGUGAUGGCAGGACGAGCUGCCAUUAAUUUGUUGUCUUCGAAAAUUUAUUAAUACAAAAUUCUUGUUAAUCGACAGUUCUUUCAUGGACGAUUCACCGUUGCUGAAUGAUAGAAUUGUGGAUGAAUAACUACCUCAUCCUGCACAGAAAUGCUUUUGAACUGGACUGUAUUUUUUAGUCA